rnacentral:lncRNA from 1 species
UUGUGCAGCACAACAUGGUGGGGACCUGGUGAGGCCGUGGCCUUGGCCUCUGGGUCAAUGGGCAAUGCAGUUAUUGAUCGUUUAAGUGAGAUGGGCAGAUAGGGGUCUGUUAUAAGCAGAGGAAUAGAAUCAAGUUUUGUUUUGUAGCAGAGCUCCCUCAUAAGAGUCACUGGACAAGGAUGAGGUUAGAAGUUCUGCCCAGAAUGAGGGCAGGGGCUUCCUUCUUGGGCCAAAUUCACUGCCUUGUGGCUGCAGGUGGACGUAUUGGUGACCACAGCUGGCGGCGUGGAGGAAGACCUCAUCAAGUGCCUGGCGCCCACAUACUUGGGCGAGUUUAGCCUCAGGGGGAAGGAGCUCCGGGAGAACGGGAUCAAUAGGAUCGGAAACCUGCUGGUGCCCAAUGAGAAUUACUGCAAGUUUGAGGACUGGCUGAUGCCCAUUCUGGACCAGAUGGUGAUGGAGCAGAACACAGAGGGUGUAAAGUGGACGCCUUCUAAGAUGAUCGCCCGGCUGGGCAAGGAGAUCAACAACCCAGAGUCCGUGUAUUACUGGGCCC